rnacentral:misc_RNA from 1 species
GAUGAAGAACGUAGCGAAAUGCGAUAACUAAUGUGAAUUGCAGAAUUCAGUGAAUCAUCGAGUCUUUGAACGCACAUUGCGCCCCCUGGUAUUCCGGGGGGCAUGCCUGUCCGAGCGUCAUUGCUGCCCUCAAGCACGGCUUGUGUGUUGGGCUCCGUCCCCCCGGGGACGGGCCCGAAAGGCAGCGGCGGCACCGAGUCCGGUCCUCGAGCGUAUGGGGCUUUGUCACCCGCUCAGUAGGCCCGGCCGGCGCCAGCCGACAACCCAUCAUCCUUUUCAGGUUGACCUCGGAUCAGGUAGGGAUACCCGCUGAACUUAAGCAUAUCAAUAAGCGGAGGA